rnacentral:rRNA from 1 species
UGCGAAACUCGAAUGAACGAACGGAGAGAUUCAUCGUCAUUCUCGGGCGCGUGAGCGUUUUCCGCUCGAUGUCGUCGGCCUCGGCCGCGCGGCACGGCGGGCGUUCACACGGUGUCCCGGGACGGCGUGCACUUCUCUCUUAGUAAUACAUCGCGACCCGUUCGAUGUCGGUCUAAGCUCCGUUCGGGAGUCUCAUCUGCGCUCCCUCGGGACGCAGGCGAGACCGUGACGGCAGCCGACCGGCCGUCGGACGGUAUAACAACGAAACGCGUACGCGUUAACGCGCGUCCGGCCCGACGCAAGGCAACGUCGUAUCCCCCGUAACGCCCGAGCGCGGACGGGAGUGCGGCGCGCCUGUUCUGUCGCAGCCGUGCAGUCUCGGACUUGUACGCGUCUCCGUCUGCGAUGAUUCAGUUUCGG